GCUCAGGAAAAGGUGACCUGUCUCUGGGGACUGGAAGAAUGGACUCAAAGGAGGCUGUUUACACAAGGCUCUCCCACUCACCAGCUGUUGAGUUUGUGAGGAAGACAGGAUCUUAUUACUUCAAUGGCCGCGAUCAAGAAGGUUCUCCAACCAUAUACAGCCAAAUGGAUUUACUACCAUGGGGCUGGCUAAUUAAUGAUUAAUCAGGGGCAUUUGAUAGUAAUCUGCCUUGCAGCCACAUCCUCAAACUUCAUGUUGCUUUCUCUUCUGGCCUUGUCAUGUUUGAGUCAAGCCCUGCUAGUGGGUGCUGGCUUGAAGUCAGAACUCACGGGGUGGGGGGGAAUUCUCUGCGCUCAUCUGUCCUCUCUGACUCUGCUAUUUAUAGAGUCCACGUGGACUGCUAACUAUUACUAGGGGCCUGCUGCAUGCUAAGCACUGGGAUGGGUGCCUGACAUAAUACUGAAUCCUCACACGGCCCUGUAAAGUUGCUUUGUAUCGCUGACAUUUUGACCAUGAUGAAAUGAGAUGCUCAGAGAGAUCAUGUGUUGUGGGUAAGAUCACACAGUUGAUAGGAUCGGUAUUCCAAUUUCAGAGGCCCUCCACUAUAACACUAUGCUUUGCUCAUUCUUGCUACAAAGAUAACUGCCCUGUAGCAUCCCUGUGGGUAUCACUCCCUGUCUCAAAUUGGGGUGGGUAUGGCGGUGUAUGUGCAUGGGAAGUGUCUUGGGGGGAGGGUUGUAGAAGCACAGAGGAAUCACAGAAUUAUUUUCUAAGCGAGAUAACACUGUUUGUUUAUGGCCCAUGGAUCAUAUCUCCCUGUCCCCACCUAUUUUUGUAAAUAAAGUUUUAUGGGAACACAACCACAUCCUUU
rnacentral:lncRNA from 1 species